UCUUCUUCUUCUCUUGCUCAACUCAAAUUUUGUUUUUUUGAUUCCUUAUGUGGUUCUGUUUGUGUGUUGUAACGACUGUUAUGUAAAAUUGACCAUGGAAAUGUUUAAUAGCAAACUAACAUUUUUUCAAAAGAAUUUGUUGUGAUUUGCAGCACCAAGAUUCACUUUCAACCUGAAAAACCAGUCAAGAAAGAAAACUAACACAAUAUACCAGUAGUUCAUCACAGCAAAGUAGAGAACUUUAAUCAAACAGAAGAAAACUUAAACAUAUGGUACAAUACCAUUAGUUUAUCACAUCAAAGUAGAGAACUUUAAUCAAACAGUAAGAAAACUUAAACAUAGAGAAGAACACCAGCUUUAUACUUCCAGUUUGAGCACUAUCUUGAGCUCCUCCACUAUGAAUCAAAAGCAGUAAUACACUUGUAUCUAUACAGUUGAGAAUCAACACUCAGGUCAGAUCUCUCUCAAGAGUCACUCAGUACAAUCUCUUUAAUGUACUCUCAAAGUGUAUAUAUAGCCAGCCAAACAGAACAUGACUUAUCCAGCUAUAUAACAGACUUAUCAAAGUAAUUGAUGUCAUGGCAGGUUGGAGAAUUAAUACCACAGAAUUUAUUUGCAAAAAUUACACUAAAUUUACACUGUUCUGACCCUGUGUGAAUUCAAUGAGGUUAUUUAGCAAAUCUAAUACUUUUAUAUGGUCAGUUUAGCAAAUUCCUGGUUUGUUUGUGAUGCAUGUUAAGCUAAUGUGUUCUUAUUGUAAGCGACAUGACGAAACUGAAGUGCCAGAUCCUUAUUAUGGUGGACAACAAGGCUUUGAGAAGGUUUUGGAUUUACUUGAAGAUGCUUGUGAAUCAUUGCUUGAUAGCAUAUUGGCAGAGAACAAAAACAUCUAGGAAGAAAGAAAAUGAGAUAAAAUGCCAAUUGGUCACCAGUCUGGCUUUGGUUCCUUCUCUGUGAUCAAAUUUUAUUUUCCUAUUCUUGCUAAUAAUGAUAU